AAAAAAAAACUUGAAGAAAAGAAGAAAGAUUCAGCAACUGCAUAGCCUAUUUCUAGCUUAAGAUGUUUUCAAAAACACGUUUCAGUGAACUAUUUUCGUAAUAUACGAGAUCGUCAUGUUCAUCCUUUUAAGAGAUCUCUUGGGGGCA